rnacentral:lncRNA from 1 species
UUUGAAUUAACCAAUGAUGGGUAGAACUUAGAUUGUUAGUGGUUACUUUGAUGAAAAUGUUUGGGAAAUGAUUGAAAUUGCUUAUCAAGCUUUGAUUGAGUGAAAAUCACUAGUUCCCUAUGAGCUUAAAAAGAAAAAGAAAAAAAGAAGAAAAAGAAAUGAAAAUGAAUGUGAAUAAAAGAGCAUAAAGGGGAGUGAUUUGCCUUUUGAAUCAUAUCAUGAUAAGUAUCACUAAGGGUGAAAAGAAGAAAUGUGGGGAUAUUGGUUGAUUGAUUAGAAAAGAACAAUGGUGAAUAUGACUUAUUCAAUUUGGAAAUUGUAUGGGAUAUGAGUCACUUUGCCUAUAAACACCUCACCUCACCAAAGAGCUCUCAUUGCAACCUAAAGAAAAGCCCUUGUU